GAGAUUUCUGAGUUGUCAAAGAUCAAUGGAUUGUUCACCCAAGGUGCUUGAUGUUAUUCAUGAGCUAUCAUGUUUUGAUUAUUCCGUUGUUUUAGUCCUUUUUGUGCUGCAACAACGAAAUAUUUGGGAGCAAAUGAGCAAAGACUUCUUCUUCACUUGGUGACCAAUGACCAUAAUUAGCUAUUAUCAUCUUCCACACAGUAAAGAUGCAAGAUAUAUAGAUGCGAGAAACACAUGGCUAGGUGUUAUGGGGUGGAGCUUUGUUGAUUCAAGCUAAACUAAUAGAAAGAAGAAGGAAAAGGGGAUCCUACAGGAACGACCAUGGUAUCACAAAGUUAGUAAGCAAUUCCUCUUUGUUCCUUCAAAAAGGAGGAUGACAGGAAGGAUUGUGGAGGUUCCUCUUUGUAGUGAAAUUCUAAGCUCUAUUGCAGUUUGGAUGCCUCCUUUUGACAAAUCUAUAAUCUUAAUUUCCGUUAAGAUUAAGCUUCUAUAUUUGUGGCAAGUAUCCAUGUUUGAAGACGUUGAUGAUUUGAGAUAAUUUGAUCACAUUUGUAACCUAGUGAUAUAAAUGGUACGCGCCUCAACGAGCUUCUCUUUUCUAUCUUUAUACAUAUUUACGCUAGACUAUACAAAACUCCAUGGACGUAAAUAAUGGUUGCAUUGGUAUUAAUCUACAAAGUGUAGUCAUCUAUGAAGCGAGUACUUAAAUAUCGAUGGAAAACAAAAAAAACAUUUCUUUUUUCUCUACUUGCUUUCAUAUGAGAAAAUAAAGAGCAAAGAUUAAGAUAUAGUAGGUUGAAUAACACAGUUUCUAUUCAGAUAAUUUUGUUGAGUCCUCACAUAUCUACUGUGGGAGUUUUUAUGUUAUAGUUAUGUUUAUGUCCUUAUUGGACAAUUGUAUGUUUGUACCUUAUGAUUUCAUUGUUUAGCGUAUUGCUGUGUACCAAUUAACUUUUUCUCUUUCCGGAAUACAA